CUUUGAGUAGACUCACCGGAAGUAUACGUUUUGGUGAGUCUGUGUAAGACACUUUGUGGAUCUCAGAAAUAUCUAGUUGUGGUUGUGUUAGUGUUGGAUAUUGUAGGAACUGGACGUUCUGUAUUAAUAGGUGGAGAAAAGCUACUAGGAAAUUGGGACUCUUGACUAUUAAGUGUGACCUUGUAUCAGUCAGGUCCAGUCAGAAGACAAAAUCUACAGUAAUAUCUUGAGCAGGGAAAAGAUAAUGAUUAUUAAUUUGAUUCAAAAGGUAAAGAAAAUUUGAAGGAAUAACAGAGUUAGCAAUUGCAGAAGAUAGCUACCAUCCCUGUGAUUACAGAGUUGGUGACUCAGGAAGGAAUUUAGGGGAAGAUCCCCAUAAGGCUGAGAUGGUGACCUCAGAUGGAAGAGCAUGACUGUCCACAAUACACUGUGUUCUCCUGGGGUGAAGGACUCGGGGGUCUCCUCACAGAAACCCGAGGCUGGUCUGGAGUGGUCAGCGCUUCAGAGAACGCUGUGGGGGUCGCUGUGCCCCCACAUGAUCUCAGCCUUCUCUUUGCCACAUGGAAGCAGAAAACAAAUGUGCGGAAGAAUGUCAACCGCUGCUGCUUAUUCCGGAGUUGCAGGCCUCUCAGUGGCCCGUUUUGACCAGCUGGCAAAAGCGAACCAUUGUAAAGUGUGGAUUCAGUACCUGAAGGAGGAAGCGGGGUUUCUAGCCGAGAGGCGAUAGGUUGAUGGUUGGCACACACGCGUUUGUCCACCCCACACACUCACCUCAAAUCAGUCCCAGACUGUGCAGUUGUAUAGGGUCAGCUUCCUUGUAAUAGCUGAACCCAUGUUUCACCUUCCAGCGUCCUCCCCAGGUACUUCAGUUUUUUCGAAGAGUUUACUAUUGAUAUUUCCCCUGUUUUCUUUGUUGAACUGUUGCUUUGGUUAUCGGCAGGUCCCUAGGUAAUCAUAUCCUUCGUCUGUGCUUCUGUAGCUUUCUCUGGACCACUUCUCCUCCAAAACGGAGAUAUUUCCUUCGUAAAGCUUCUUUUUGAGAGAGGCCUGGCAUAUAAGGGCUAGGAGAUUCAUGUGCAAGAUAAACUGAUCAUUUCAAAUCACAUCACUAGCCAAAUCAUUCUAUAAUAAAUAGUAAAAAAGCAUUUGUGCCUAAAUUCAGGCUACUAUAUUAUUAAAAUGUUGCUUUUACCUUACUUAUAAAUUAGGGUCCACAAAUCAUCUGACUUAGAGGAAAGUGUCUUAAAAAAUGAAAAGAGGUAAACGUUUGGAGACUUUGGAUUCAGAGGUACAUUUUUUAGGGAAUACUACCAAAUACUCUAAGGAAGGACUUACUUCAUUAUCAUACUAUUAUAUAUGUCUUCAUCCUUAUUAAGUUGGACAUUCCAGAAUAUAGUUUUGCUCAACUUUAUACAACCAAAAAGCCUGUAAAACUGAAGAAUGUUAUCCUCAAACAUAACAUUAGGAUACUGGUAACUUUGGAAUCAUAAAACUUCAUUGGAUUUUGUUUUUAACUUACUUUCUUUUUCUUUUAAAGCCCUCAGAGAUCUCAUAUCCUCUCAAGAUUCUAGUGUCUUUCCUGUCCAGACACCAUCACUCUCAUUGCUAUAGAUGGUAGGCUUCUGAAAGACACAUGUGUGGAGGUCAGUAGAGGAUCAGUUCCAGUCCAGUCUUCAUUGAGAAAAAAUUCUGGAGGGUUCUUAUACGUGGGUGUGGUUUUGUCUUCAGUUCAGUUCAGUUUAGUCGCUCAGUCGUGUCUGACUCUCUGCGACCCCGUGAAUUGGAGCACACCAGGCCUCCCUGUCCAUCACCAACUCCUGGAGUUCACUCAGACUCACAUCCAUAGAGUCAGUGAUGCCAUCCAGCCAUCUCAUCCUGCAGUCACCAUCUGCAGUGAUUUUGGAGCCCAGAAAAAUAAAGUCUGACACUGUUUCCACUGUUUCCCCAUCUAUUUCCCAUGAAGUGAUGGGACUAGAUGCCAUGAUCUUCGUUUUCUGAAUGUUGAGCUUUAAGCCAACAUUUUUGCUCUCCACUUUCACUUUCAUCAAGAGGCUUUUUAGUUCCUCUUCACUUUCUGCCAUAAGGGUGGUGUCAUCUGCAUAUCUGAGGUUAUUGAUAUUUCUCCCGGCAGUCUUGAUUCCAGCUUGUGCUUCUUCCAGUUCAGCAUUUCUUAUGGUGUACUCUACAUAUAAAUUAAAUAAGCAGGGUGACAAUAUAUAGCCUUGAUGUACUCCUUUUCCUAUUUGGAACCAG
ensembl:lncRNA